GACGAACGCUGGCGGUGUGCCUCAUACAUGCAAGUCGAACGAGAAGAGAAAGCUUGCUUUCUCGGAAAGUGGCGGACGGGUGAGCACAACAUAGGAAAUCUGCCUUUAGGUGGGGGACAACAGAGGGAAACUUCUGCUAAUACCCCAUAUGAGCUAACCUGAAAUGGUUAUCUUGAAAGUUCCGGCGCCUAAAGAUGAGCCUGUGCCUGAUUAGCUAGUUGGUGGUGUAAUGGACUACCAAGGCGACGAUCAGUAGCUGGUUUGAGAGGAUGAUCAGCCACAAUGGGACUGAGACACGGCCCAUACUCCUACGGGAGGCAGCAGUGGGGAAUAUUGGGCAAUGGGGGAAACCCUGACCCAGCAACGCCGCGUGGAGGAAGAAGGUUUUCGGAUCGUAAACUCCUGUCCUCAGGGAAGAGCAGAAGACGGUACCUGAGGAGGAAGCCCCGGCUAACUACGUG
rnacentral:rRNA from 1 species